rnacentral:rRNA from 1 species
AGAAACCAACAGGGAUUGCCUCAGUAACGGCGAGUGAAGCGGCAACAGCUCAAAUUUGAAAUCUGGCCUCUUUGGGGUCCGAGUUGUAAUUUGUAGAGGAUGUUUCGGGUACCGCCUCGGUUUAAAUUUCUUGGAACAGAAUGUCAGAGAGGGUGAGAAUCCCGUCUUGGACCGGCGGUAGGGCCCAUGUGAAACUCCUUCGACGAGUCGAGUUGUUUGGGAAUGCAGCUCAAAAUGGGUGGUAAAUUUCAUCUAAAGCUAAAUAUUGGCCAGAGACCGAUAGCGCACAAGUAGAGUGAUCGAAAGAUGAAAAGCACUUUGAAAAGAGAGUUAAACAGUAUGUGAAAUUGUUGAAAGGGAAGCGCUUACAACCAGACUUGAGCGCGGCGGUUCCCCCUUCCUUUUGGUUGGGUUACUCCGCCGUGUCCAGGCCAACAUCGGUUCUGGGGGUCGGUCAAAGGCUUUGGGAAUGUAUCUACCCUUCGGGCGUAGACUUAUAGCCCAGAGUGUCAUGCGGCCUCCCGGGACCGAGGAACGCGCUUCGGCUCGGAUGUUGGCGUAAUGGUUGUCAGCGACCCGUCUUGAAACACGGACCAAGGAGUCUAACAUCUAUGCGAGUGUUUGGGUGUCAAACCCGGAACGCGAAAUGAAAGUGAACGGAGGUAGGAAGCCGUGAGGCUGCACUAUCGACCGAUCCUGAUGUCUUCGGAUGGAUUUGAGUAAGAGCAUAGCUGUUGGGACCCGAAAGAUGGUGAACUAUGCCUGAAUAGGGUGAAGCCAGAGGAAACUCUGGUGGAGGCUCGCAGCGGUUCUGACGUGCAAAUCGAUCGUCAAAUUUAGGUAUAGGGGCGAAAGACUAAUCGAACCA